GAUAACAGAGUGAGACUCUGUCUCAAAAAAAAAAAAAAAAAAAAAUCCCAUUUCAGAAAUCUGAAAAAAUAUGCAUCUUUUAAUUAUUGAACUAUAGCACAUCCUUUAACUAUCUUCAAUUUUGUUUUAACUAAAAAGUGUUAUUCAUCUAUAAUUUAUAUUCCACUUCAAUGUUAAGACUACCUAGGCAGAGCCUCAAUUCAACUUUCUGGGCCAUGGUUUUGUUGUGGUUGCUAUUGUUUUGUUUAGUUUUUUUUUUUUUUUCUUUUCAUCUACUUUUUAAAUUGAGAUAUACUUAGCAUAAAAUUCAUCCUUUUAAAAUGUAAAAUUCAGUAGUUUUUAGUGUAUUCACAAAGUUGUUCAAUCACUAUUAUCCACAAUACUUUCAUUGUAUGCAAUUCUCUACCUGAUUAGCAGAUAUUCCCCAUUAACACCUUCCAAGGUCUUUGAUAAAUUUUUAUAUGUGGAGUAAGGGGUCCAUCUUCAUUCUUACAUGUGAGUAUCCAGUUGUCCCAGGGCCCAUGCUGUUUUCUUUGUUUUAUUCCAUUUAUUUGGCCAUUCACCAAUAUGUUUUGAAUACCUGCUAUGUCCAAGACACUAAUAUAAUCCAAAGUUCUAUCAUUUUGUGAUCCUUACAUAGUAUACAAAGAAAAAAAUGUGAGAAUUAAUGGGAACAAAUAUUUACCAGGAUUUCUCUAACAUUGUUUUUGGGUCAUCAUCUACCCUGUUUAGAGAAAUAUCAUUAAAUCCUCCUGUCCUAGCAAUUACAAUUAUUUUCCUUCAAUCUUUGAUGACUUUGACCUCAUAGUCAGAAUGCAGCAUUGAUGAUCAUUCUGAGUCUUAACUUUGCCUUACUGAGAAAGCAGAGAAGAGAGGGAUGGAGGGGCAGUGAUUUGAGUUGAAUAAGAUGGUAGCUAGUAGGAGAGGAUGAAGACCUUGUCAGGAGAACUGUGUAAGAAGAUAAUAGUCGCAACCCUCUGUCAUGAUUUUGCAUUUGAUCUUUCUUAAAACUUGACACAUUUAGGCUUAUUCCAGGAAAUUGAAGUUUUUUAAACAUGCAAAUUAUAAUAUUUAAUAUUGUCAACAGUAAAGUAAGAAAGCACACUAUCACUGCUGCCAUGUUUAUACAUAGAGCAUGUUAUUUCAUGGUGGAUGAUACCAACAAAGUUGACCUCAACAACGAUUUGUUAGAUUAUACAUAUAUAACCCAGGAUUUAUUUGAGGUCCUUUUGCUACAUUAUUGACUCCUACACGAUCAUUAUCGUCACUGUUUCUGGCUCUACCUGGAGUGCCAUAACUACCACCACCAGCCCACACAGAUACACAUACACACACACUCACACACGUAUACAAACUCACAUACACAAACAUACUUAUUAAUCCUUGAUAAUCUAGCAACAACAAUAACGUUGGCACUGUUGUUGAUAAUCUAGCAACUCUUUCCAUCAGUUGUAACUAGUAAUCCCACUGUUAUGCCUGCUGAGCCAAUAUACAGUUAUUAUUUACCAAAUAAUGCUUUUUUCAACAUUGAUUAAAUCAGAGUGGAAGCAAAAUGGUAAUAUUUAUGAUAAAUUUUAGUUUGGACGUUCAAUGUCAAGAUCAAAUAUUCUUCAUAGCUACAAACUUAAAUUUUAUGUGGAAAAGCAAUGAUGAAGAGUUUCAAACCUUAACUGACACUUAACAGGAUAUGUAAUUGCUCACACACAACCUUUAGGUUUUGUAAUCCAGUUUUAUCUCAUACAAUAUUAGAAACAGUACACUUUGUAAAUAGCUAUUUUAAAAGUUAGCCAUAUUUUUAAAGUCACAUGUAUUUAUAACUUUUCUGAGUAAUUUUCUUGUUAAUGCCUUAUUAUAGGUGCUUGUAACAUGAAAACUAAACUUGGAUCUUGGUAUAUUCAGUAUUCUAUAGAUAGAUUGUGAUAUGCAUAGCUUCUACUGUGACUUUCAGACCUAAUGUCUCCUCUUAGGUUUUCUUUAAUAUCCUUUCUCAUUCCUUUCAGGGGGCCUAUUUUUAGUUUGCAUUGUUUGCAGCAUUUCAGUAAUACUGUUCUAUUCUAAUAAUAUUGUUCUGCUCUAAUAAACGUUUCUAAAUACUGUGGUU